GUGCUUGUUUUGGCAGCACAUAUACUAAGAUUGGAAUGAUACAGAGAAGAUUAGCAUGGUCCUUGUGCAAGGAUGACUUGAAAAUUCAUAAAGUGUUCCAUAUAUAC